rnacentral:rRNA from 1 species
UACAGAGGGUGCAAGCGUUGUUCGGAAUUAUUGGGCGUAAAGAGCUCGUAGGCGGUCUGUCGCGUCGAUCGUGAAAACUUGGGGCUUAACCCUGAGCUUGCGGUCGAUACGGGCAUGACUGGAGUUCGGCAGGGGAGACUGGAAUUCCUGGUGUAGCGGUGAAAUGCGCAGAUAUCGGGAGGAACACCGGUGGCGAAGGCGGGUCUCUGGGCCGAUACUGACGCUGAGGAGCGAAAGCGUGGGGAGCGAACAGG